rnacentral:rRNA from 1 species
ACUCAAAUGAAUAGACGGGGACCCGCACAAGCGGUGGAUUAUGUGGAUUAAUUCGAUGCAACGCGAAAAACCUUACCUACCCUUGACAUGUCCGAGAGCGCGGAGAGAUCCGCGUGUGCCCGAAAGGGAAUCGGAACACAGGUGCUGCAUGGCUGUCGUCAGCUCGUGUCGUGAGAUGUUGGGUUAAGUCCCGCAACGAGCGCAACCCUUGCCAUUAGUUGCCACUUUAACCGGGGCACUCUAAUGGGACUGCCGGUGACAAACCGGAGGAAGGUGGGGAUGACGUCAAGUCCUCAUGGCCCUUAUGGGUAGGGCUUCACACGUAAUACAAUGGCGCGUACAGAGGGUUGCCAAGGGGCGACCUGGAGCCAAUCCCGCAAAGCGCGUCGUAGUCCGGAUUGCAGUCUGCAACUCGACUGCAUGAAGUCGGAAUCGCUAGUAAUCGCGGAUCAGCAUGUCGCGGUGAAUACGUUCCCGGGUCUUGUACACACCGCCCGU